rnacentral:rRNA from 1 species
CGGUUGAUCCUACCGGACCCGACCGCUAUUUGGGUGAGAAUAAGCCAUGCGAGCCGAAUGGGAUACCUAAAUAUCCCAUGGCAAACUGCUCAGUAACACAUGAUCAACUUACCCUAUAGAGAAAAAUAACCUCGGGAAACUGAGGAUAAUUUUUCAUAGUUGAAUAGGCUUGGAAAAGUUAUUCAACAGAAGGAAUAAGGAAAAUGGUCCUUAUUCGCUAUAGGAUAGGAUCGUGUUCGAUUAUGGUUGUUGGUGAGGUAACGGCUCACCAAGCCGAUAAUCGAUAGGGGCCGUGAGAGCGGGAGCCCCGAGAUGGGUACUGAGACAACGACCCAGGCCUUACGAGGCGCAGCAGGCGCGGAACCUCCGCAAUACACGAAAGUGUGACGGGGUUCCCCAAAGUGCUCUUUCUAGAGCUGUGGUAGGUGAGUAAUGUUCCCUACUAGAAAGGAGAGGGCAAGGCUGGUGCCAGCCGCCGCGGUAAAACCAGCUCUUCAAGUGGUCGGGAUAAUUAUUGGGCUUAAAGUGUCCGUAGCCGGUUUAGUAAGUUCCUGGUAAAAUCGGGUAGCUUAACUAUCCGCAUGCUAGGAAUACUGCUAUACUAGAGGGCGGGAGAGGUCUGAGGUACUACAGGGGUAGGGGUGAAAUCUUAUAAUCCUUGUAGGACCACCAGUGGCGAAGGCGUCAGACUGGAACGCGCCUGACGGUGAGGGACGAAAGCCAGGGGAGCGAACCGGAUUAGAUACCCGGGUAGUCCUGGCCGUAAACGAUGCAUACUAGGUGAUGGCACGGCCAUGAGCCGUGUCAGUGCCGUAGGGAAACCGUUAAGUGUGCCGCCUGGGAAGUACGGUCGCAAGGCUAAAACUUAAAGGAAUUGGCGGGGGAGCAC